rnacentral:rRNA from 1 species
CACGUAGGGGGCGAGCGUUGUCCGGAAUCAUUGGGCGUAAAGAGCUCGUAGGCGGCUCGGUAAGUCGGGUGUGAAACCCUCAGGCUCAACCUGGGGACGCCACCCGAUACUGCCGUGGCUAGAGUCCAGUAGGGGAGUGUGGAAUUCCCGGUGUAGCGGUGAAAUGCGCAGAUAUCGGGAGGAACACCAGCGGCGAAGGCGGCACUCUGGGCUGGUACUGACGCUGAGGAGCGAAAGCGUGGGUAGCAAACAGG